UGUUAGUUAUAGGAGAGGUGUUGGUCCGAGAAGGUUCGCCAAGUAUAAAUUUGCUUAUCGAGGAGAUCUUGCUGCUAAGUGAUGACUGAGAGACCGUGCUUUACUUACAGUCGUAGAGAAUUAUCGGAUGACAGGUUCUUUGGUGUUUUUAUCUUGAUGUUAAACAUUUUUGAGGUGGAUUUCAUAUGUUGACUUUACAAUCCACCUUUGUAAAUCUCUUUUGAUAUAUAUAUGAAAAGUUUUGAAAAUUUUAAAAGUUUUAA